CCCUUAGAUGUCCUGGGCCGCACGCGCGCUACACUGAGUGUCUGAGAUACGAGUCGGCCUGGUCCGGCAAGGUCUAGGUAAUCGCUAAAAGACACAUCAUGCUUGGGAUAGAUUAUUGCAAAUAUUAAUCUUGAACGAGGAAUUCCUAGUAAGCGCAAGUCAACAGCUUGCGUUGAUUACGUCCCUGCCCUUUGUACACACCGCCCGUCGCUACUACUGAUUGGAUGUUUAAGCGAGGUUCUCGAACUGCUAGCGACUUAGCUUCGGUGAGGUCGCAGUGUGGGAAGUGAACCUAGCUUUGGUGUCUAGAGGAAGUAAAAGUCGUAACA
rnacentral:rRNA from 1 species